rnacentral:rRNA from 1 species
GUGCCAGCCGCCGCGGUAAUACAGAGGUGGCAAGCGUUGUUCGGAAUUACUGGGCGUAAAGGGCGCGUAGGCGGCUCUUUUAGUCAGACGUGAAAUCCCCCGGCUUAACCUGGGAACUGCGUCUGAUACUGGAGAGCUUGAGUGCGGGAGAGGGAUGUGGAAUUCCAGGUGUAGCGGUGAAAUGCGUAGAUAUCUGGAGGAACACCGGUGGCGAAGGCGGCAUCCUGGACCGACACUGACGCUGAUGCGCGAAAGCUAGGGGAGCAAACGGGAUUAGAUACCCUUGUAGUCC